CGGCCAUCAUGGAUUUUUGAUCACCCAUCCCCUCAGCCUCGAUGCGCUGGGCCAAAUUCCCUCCAAAAAAAAUUGGAAACAAAAAGGUUUACGAAAGAACAAACAAAAUAUGAUCACUUGAAGUCGUGCCGCUGUUGCAUAUGCCACGAUAUUGCAGAAAUGUUUGGGUAUGUACGGAAGCAUUGCUGAUCAUGAAUUGGAUUCGUGAUAAAACAAUCGUGUCCUUUAUCAAUCAAUUCCAGACCAAAAGGAUGUCAAAAACUGCAAGACUUGGACGCCUUAUCUGUCAAAGGCUGUUCGAUAAAAGCGGAAUAACUAACAAAGAGAGCUACUUCCCAUCAGAUUCUUUUAUGAACGCAUACGGCGAGUUGCAUUACGAGGUCCUCUUCAGAUGCAUGCGCAAGCAGUCGAAAACUGUUUCGCCAACGACAUUUCAAGUCAAACCUUCAAGUAACUAGACAUCAGGAGCAAUAGAAAAUGUGGCAGGGCAAUGGAUACGAGCUAGCUGCGUAUAAUAUUGUGUCGAAUUCCGGAAGACUGGCUCUCCGUAGCUUAACUUGUUCCAAAUGUGAACACCGAUCACAUCCGUCGUCAGCCAAUCAGGAGUCAUGGUAUCAUUUGAAUAUCUUUGCUUGAAAAAUUCUUGCCAAUUGCCAUAAUGUACCGGAUAGAACGAUGUUUGCGGUAGGAUACUGAACCCACGACAUUU